UACGUAGGGGGCAAGCGUUGUCCGGAUUUAUUGGGCGUAAAGCGCGCGUAGGCGGCGCGGUAUGUCGUGCGUGAAAUCUCCCGGCUUAACUGGGAGGGGCCGUGCGAAACUGCCGGGCUUGAGGUCGGAAGGGGAAAGUGGAAUUCCGGGUGUAGUGGUGGAAUACGUAGAUAUCCGGAGGAACACCAGCGGCGAAGGCGGCUUUCUGGUCCGAUACUGACGCUGAGGCGCGAAAGCGUGGGGAGCGAACAGG
rnacentral:rRNA from 1 species